GUAAAGAAAGAAAAAGAAAGAAAGAAAGAAAGGAAGGAAGGAAGGAAGGAAGGAAGGAAGGAAGGAAGGAAGGAAGGAAGGAAGGAAGGAAGGAAGGAAGGAAGGAAGGAAGGAAGGAAGGAAGGAAGGAAGGAAGGAAGGAAGGAAGGAAGGAAGGAAGGAAGGAAGGAAGGAAGGAAGGAAGGAAGGAAGGAAGGAAGGAAGGAAGGAAGGAAGGAAGGAAGGAAAAAGGAAACCUAAAACAGUACCUUGGGUGGGGGUGGAAUUCCCUUUCUUGCAGAUUCAUUAGGCUAUGUCUGAACCUUCAGGGCUGAUAGACUUUCUGUAAGCAAUGGGUCUGCAAGUUUGGGUUCAUUUUAAGAACUAAG
ensembl:lncRNA